rnacentral:rRNA from 1 species
CCUACGGGGUGCAGCAGUGAGGAAUAUUGGUCAAUGUGCGUAAGCCUGAACCAGCCAAGUCGCGUGAGGGAUGAAGGUUCUAUGGAUCGUAAACCUCUUUUAUAAGGGAAUAAAGUGUGGGACGUGUCCUGUUUUGUAUGUACCUUAUGAAUAAGGAUCGGCUAACUCCGUGCCAGCCGCCGCGGUAAUACGGAGGCGCCGAGCGUUAUCCGGAUUGAUUGGGUUUAAAGGGUGCGUAGGCGGCCGUUUAAGUCAGCGGUGAAAGUCUGUGGCUCAACCAUAGAAUUGCAGUUGAAACUGGGAGGCUUGAGUAUGUUUGAGGCAGGCGGAAGGCGUGGUGUAGCGGUGAAAUGCUUAGAUAGCACGCAGAACCCCGAUUGCGAAGGCAGCCUGCCAAGCCAUGACUGACGCUGAUGCACGAAAGCGUGGGGAUCAAACAGGAUUAGAUACCCCAGUAGUC